GACGAACGCUGGCGGCGUGCUUAACACAUGCAAGUCGAACGGAAAGGCCCCCUUGUGGGGUACUCGAGUGGCGAACGGGUGAGUAACACGUGAGUAACCUACCCUUGACUUUGGGAUAACUUCAGGAAACUGGGGCUAAUACCGGAUAGGAGCUCCUGCUGCAUGGUGGGGGUUGGAAAGUUUCGGCGGUUGGGGAUGGACUCGCGGCUUAUCAGCUUGUUGGUGGGGUAGUGGCUCACCAAGGCUUUGACGGGUAGCCGGCCUGAGAGGGUGACCGGCCACAUUGGGACUGAGAUACGGCCCAGACUCCUACGGGAGGCAGCAGUGGGGAAUAUUGCACAAUGGGCGGAAUCCUGAUGCAGCAACGCCGCGUGCGGGAUGACGGCCUUCGGGUUGUAAACCGCUUUCGCCUGUGACGAAGCGUGAGUGACGGUAAUGGGUAAAGAAGCACCGGCUAACUACGUG
rnacentral:rRNA from 1 species